rnacentral:rRNA from 1 species
CGGGACGGGUGAGUAACACGUGAGCAACCUGCCUUUCAGAGGGGACAACAGUUGGAAACGACUGCUAAUACCGCAUAAAAUAACGGAACCGCAUGAUUCUGUUAUCAAAGGAGAAAUCCGCUGAAAGAUGGGCUCGCGUCUGAUUAGAUAGUUGGUGAGGUAACGGCCCACCAAGUCGACGAUCAGUAGCCGGACUGAGAGGUUGAACGGCCACAUUGGGACUGAGACACGGCCCAGACUCCUACGGGAGGCAGCAG